rnacentral:rRNA from 1 species
AUAUUGCACCUUGUGGGCAACCCUGAUGCAGCGUCGCCGCGUGAGCGAAGAAGGCCUCCGGGUCUUCAAGCUCUGUCCUGAGGGAAGAAACGAACGGUACCAUCGCUGGAAUCCACGACUGACUCGGUGUCAGCAGGCGCGGUAAUACGUAGGGGGCGUGCGUUAUCCGGAAUUAUUGGGCGUAAAUGUUGCGUAGGCAGCCUUUUAAGUCAGAUGUGAAAGGCUACGGCUUAACCGUAGUUAGCAUUUGAAACUAAAAGGCUUGAGUGCAGGAGAGGAGAGUGGAAUUCCUAGUGUAGCGGUGAAAUGCGUAGAUAUUAGGAGGAACACCAGUGGCGAAGGCGACUCUCUGGACUGCAACUGACGCUGAGGCACGAAAGCGUGGGGAGCGAACA